rnacentral:misc_RNA from 1 species
GAUGAAGAACGUAGCGAAAUGCGAUAAGUAACGUGAAUUGCAGAAUUCAGUGAAUCAUCGAAUCUUUGAACGCACCUUGCGCCUUUUGGUAUUCCGAAAGGCACACCUGUUUGAGCGUCAUGAAUACCUCAAUCUCCAUCUUUUCUUCGGAUUGAUGGGUGACUUGGAUGUUGAGCCCUGCUGGUAUGCUAUAUCAGCUGGCUUUAAACUUAUUAGCCGGCUCUGUACUGGAUCGGUUUGACUCGACGUGAUAAUAUUAUCGUUGAGGAUGCAUGUCUCAUGCAGCCGGAAAGUAUCAAAGCAGCUUCUAGCUUGCCUUUAGUGCACUUUUACAUUUUAGACCUCAGAUCAGGUGGGACUACCCGCUGAACUUAAGCAUAUCAAUAAGCGGAGGA